rnacentral:rRNA from 1 species
UACGGAGGGGGCUAGCGUUAUUCGGAAUUACUGGGCGUAAAGCGCACGUAGGCGGAUUGGAAAGUUGGAGGUGAAAUCCCAGGGCUCAACCUUGGAACUGCCUUCAAAACUCCCAGUCUUGAGGUCGAGAGAGGUAAGUGGAAUUCCGAGUGUAGAGGUGAAAUUCGUAGAUAUUCGGAAGAACACCAGUGGCGAAGGCGGCUCACUGGACCGGCAUUGACGCUGAGGUACGAAAGCGUGGGGAGCAAACAGG